GACGAACGCUGGCGGCGUGCCUAACACAUGCAAGUCGAACGGAACUGUUUUGAAAGAUUUCUUCGGAAUGAAUUUGAUUUAGUUUAGUGGCGGACGGGUGAGUAACGCGUGAGUAACCUGCCUUCAAGAGGGGGAUAACAUUCUGAAAAGAAUGCUAAUACCGCAUGACAUAUCGGAAUCACAUGAUUUUGAUAUCAAAGAUUUUAUCGCUUGAAGAUGGACUCGCGUCCGAUUAGUUAGUUGGUGAGGUAACGGCUCACCAAGACCGCGAUCGGUAGCCGGACUGAGAGGUUGAACGGCCACAUUGGGACUGAGACACGGCCCAGACUCCUACGGGAGGCAGCAGUGGGGGAUAUUGCGCAAUGGGGGCAACCCUGACGCAGCAACGCCGCGUGAAGGAUGAAGGUUUUCGGAUUGUAAACUUCUUUUAUUAAGGACGAAACUUGA
rnacentral:rRNA from 1 species